UACGUAGGGGGCAAGCGUUGUCCGGAAUCAUUGGGCGUAAAGAGCGCGUAGGCGGCUCGGUAAGUCCGCUGUGAAAGUCCAGGGCUCAACCCUGGAAUGCCGGUGGAAACUGUCGGGCUAGAGUCCGGAAGAGGCGAGUGGAAUUCCUGGUGUAGCGGUGAAAUGCGCAGAUAUCAGGAGGAACACCAAUGGCGAAGGCAGCUCGCUGGGACGGUACUGACGCUGAGACGCGAAAGCGUGGGGAGCAAACAGG
rnacentral:rRNA from 1 species